UUAUAUUUUUCGUCCUCAACCUGGAAGAUAUGUUUUAUUCCUAACCAUCUAUAAUCCAUUCUCUAUGAAGUUCAGCCUGUCUGCCCAAAUUCCUUUGGAAAUACAUAGUUAGUCAACCAACAUAGAAACAAUCAAACUUGAAGUCAUCAACAUGGAAGAUAUGUUUUGUUCCUAACCAUCUCUAAUCAAUUCUCUAUGAAGUUCAGACUGUCUGCUCUUCCUUUGGAAAUACACAGUUAGUCAACCAACAUAGAAACACACAAACUUGAAGGAUUCUCUAGUGAGAGGUUAUGGAAAUGAUCUAUGUCUACUCUUAGAAUGGUGAAAGACUCUCAGAUUAUGCAAAGACUAACAGAAUAUCCUCUCUUGGAACACUGAAACAAGAAAACCAAACUUAAGAGGAUGGAGGAUUUAAGAAGAACAUAAAUAUGAUUUCCAUCGAAUUUAACCAGUACGAUCAUAGACUGUGGUUUAUACAGGAUGACAAAGAAAGGACCCAGGAUUGUAUGUUUCACUGUCAGACACUGACUAUGGAUAAAGUGUAAUCAUUUAUCAAACUGAGAUCUAGUCAAAUCAAGUAUUGAAAAUAUGAUUUUCUGAUAGCAUGAGCUCUUUAAAAACUAUUUCUCACGGACCUCAAAGUAUCUGAAUGUGACUUUUAUUUUUACCAAUUCAUAUUGAAGACUGUUGUUAUGUAUGGGAAUUACACAUUUAAACCUUUUAUUUUUCAUCUAAUUUUUACAACCCCCUAGAAAUUACACAGAUAUCCAGAUGCUGGAUUUAAUGGUAUUAUUUAACUUUCCUGGAAUUGUAAAUAUAUUUUGUUUGUGUAUGUAUCAUGUUUAAUUUUGAAUUUAAAAUUUGUCUCAAUAGGACCCCCAUAAAGAUGUAAGUGUCCCAUAAUCUGUGAUGCAAUAAUAUCUUGAAUAUUUGUUGUCAUCCCAUAUACUUCAUACUUACUACAUAAAGACUGAUUGGAGGAAUACACUUUGUUGUUUGGGACACUUUAUCAAGGUCAAAGCAUGAGAUUAUUGAGAAGACUACUUUGACAAUAAUUUGUAACUUACAAACUUCACAUCAUAAGUACAUAAAUGAAGAAUGAAUAGGAUGAAUAAGAGAUUUCUUAAGAAAUCUUGGAUCAUGUUUCUCCUGAAUAAAAACCAGUUACUGAGAUAACUGAUAUGAGUCUUGCAAUAACUUCAACAUUUUGUAAUAAGUAUAGAAAAUAUGAUUUUCUGAUAGCAUGGGCUCUUUAAAAAUUAAUUCUCACGGACUUCAGAGUAUUUAAAUGUGACUUUUAUUUUUUGCCAAUUCAUAUUGAAGACAGUUGUUAUGUAUGAGAAGUAUACAUUUAAACCUUUUAUUUUGCAUCUUAUUUCUAUAACCCCCUAGAAAUUACACAGAUAUUCAGAUGCUAGAUUUAAUGUAAUUAUUACUUUCCUGGAAUUGUAAAUAUAUUGUAUUUGUGUAUAUAUGUAUGUGUAUUGUACCCUAUUUUUAAAUUUAAAACUUGAAAUAUGAUAAAGGUCCCUUAGUAUCCCACAUCAAGAUGCAGUUACCCAGUAAUCUGUGAUGCAAUAUCUUGAAUAUUUUUAUCAUCUCAUAUACUUCAUGCUUACUACACAUAACAGCUUAUAGUAAUACACAUAGUUUUAAAGGACACAUUUGUCAAGGUCAAAGCAUGCGAUUAUUGAGAUAACUACUUUUGAAAAUAAUUUGUAACCUACAAACUUCACAUCAUAAGUUAAGAAUGAAUCGGAGAUUUUCUAUAGAUUUUAAGAUCAUUUUUCUUCUGGGUAAAAGUCAGUUGGUAAGAUUACUAAUAUGAGCUUUGUAAUGUUGAAACUUUAACAUUUUGUUAUAACCUAGAGACUUUAUAUCUGUUAUAUUGGGUGACAUGGCAUAUUCUUUGGAAAGAAUUGGAAAUGUAAAUCAAAUGCACAACAAGGAUGUUUAAAGACUAUUACUAUGUAAUACCUAAGAAUUCUGUAAAAAAUCUUAUUAUCACUGCAUAGAUAAAGACUGGUUGGAAUAAUAUAAGUUUUGAACUAAGGUCAAGGGGAAAAACCCAUUCAUAAAUAGAUCUGCAUGGGGAAGACUCCUCUAGAUCUUCAUUCAAAAGUAAAGAAAGUAUUUUUUUUUUAAGUUUGAAAGAUUGAAUGGCAGCAUAUCAUUUGCUUAUGAAUUUAAAAUGAAUCCAAACAUAUACAUCUUUAGAUGAUAACUGUAGAAUUUUUUCAAUUCCUGGACUUUCUGUCUUGAUAUUUUCCUUUAUUUUCUGUAAAAUUUAAUGAUUGUCUUUUUUAGUUUAGUUGCAUUAGUUUCUUUUUGGCAUGUAAAAAUGACAUCAUCCAAUUUGAAAGAAGUUCAUCUACAUUUUAUAUUUAGGAGAGAAUUUUUCAUCAAAGGUUUCAUUUUUGUUUAUAUGGAAUGCUAAGUUCUGUUGAUUUCCCUUUUUCCUACUAAAGACAUACCAGUAGAGUAGUAAAUGUACAUGAUGUGUCAGCAAAGCAUGCGGAAACC